UUGGGGAUUCGGCGGCGGCGGCGGCGCGGGCGCGCGCUUCCUAGUGACGCAGGCGGCGGGGCCGCGCACGCACGGGGCUGGGAGGGCCGGACACUUAUUUGGCGCUCGCGGAGGAGGAAGGCGGGGCCGUGAAAUAAGGCCCGACGGGCCCCGGGGCGCGUGCGCGGACCGACACUGUCAGCUCCUAACGCCGCAGGUUCCUCCUGGUCCCCGAGGCCCCCGGUCGGGCGUUGCCUGCCCCGCGCGGGCGGCCGGGCCGAGGGACGAUGGUCAGUGGACGGACGGCGCCAGGGAGCAGUGCCCACGCGCGGCAGGGCGGUACCUUCAGGCCUCCAGAGGCUGGGGCUGGCUCUGUUGGCCUCUGUGCUGGGUUUCUUCCUCUGCACCGCAAGACUGGCUCUCCUGACCUCUCCAGGUGUCAUCGAACACCCUUGUGCUUGCUGUCACCCGCUGCCUGUCUGCAGGAUCCCGGAUUCCGUAUCAGGGGACCAAAAUUAGUCGGAAAAUAGGAAGCAGGUGCUCGCUUGGAUGGAACCCUGACCCUGUGCUCACACUUGUAGGAGGAGGGCUCUGCAGGCCGCCUCCCGGAACGGGAGCUUCCCAAGCCAUUGCACUUCGGAGGGGCUGUAAUUAGAGUUGCACAUUCAUUCAGUUCCCAGGAAAGUAGAACGUGCUCCAGCCAGUGAGGAAAAGGUGUUUUUAAAAAUUAGAUUGGCCGAGUGCGGUGGCUCAUGCCUUUUACCUCAACACUUUGGGAGACCAAGGUGGGAGGAUCACCUGUGGCCAGGAGUUCAAGACCAGCCUGGGCAACAGAGUGAGCCUGUCUCUGGGGAAGAAUAAAAAAAAAAAUUGAGCCUUUGUCAGUGCUACUAUUUUAUUAUCUGAUAAAUAUGAGAGGGUUCACGCGGUCUAUGUGUGUCAUUUAUCUGAGUUUGCCUAUUCUCACGUUUUGGAAAUAAAUGUCAAUAAAGUCGAAGAGGAGUGCUGAGGGGGGCCUGGGGAUGGGAGAGUGGCCACAUCAUGCCUGUGUGUUGCGCAAGCCCACCGAGGUCGGCCUGGGGUGAGCCCUGGGGCCUGUUCUGCCUCCUUCACUCUGGGGCUCCAAGAGAGAAACUCCAUCUAAAAAAAAAGAAAAAUC
rnacentral:lncRNA from 1 species